GUACACUCCUGCGGGAGGCAGCAGUGGGGAAUAUUGCACAAUGGGCGCAAGCCUGAUGCAGCCAUGCCGCGUGUAUGAAGAAGGCCUUCGGGUUGUAAAGUACUUUCAGCGGGGAGGAAGGCGAUAAGGUUAAUAACCUUGUCGAUUGACGUUACCCGCAGAAGAAGCACCGGCUAACUCCGUGCCAGCAGCCGCGGUAAUACGGAGGGUGCAAGCGUUAAUCGGAAUUACUGGGCGUAAAGCGCACGCAGGCGGUCUGUCAAGUCGGAUGUGAAAUCCCCGGGCUCAACCUGGGAACUGCAUUGGAAACUGGCAGGCUAGAGUCUUGUAGAGGGGGGUAGAAUUCCAGGUGUAGCGGUGAAAUGCGUAGAGAUCUGGAGGAAUACCGGUGGCGAAGGCGGCCCCCUGGACAAAGACUGACGCUCAGGUGCGAAAGCGUGGGGAGCAAACAGGAUUAGAUACCCUUGUAGUCCC
rnacentral:rRNA from 1 species